rnacentral:rRNA from 1 species
UACGGAGGGGGCUAGCGUUGUUCGGAAUUACUGGGCGUAAAGCGCGCGUAGGCGGAUCUGCAAGUCGGGGGUGAAAUCCCGAGGCUCAACCUCGGAACUGCCUUCGAUACUGCGGGUCUCGAGUCCGGGAGAGGUGAGUGGAAUUCCUAGUGUAGAGGUAGAAAUUCGUAGAUAUAGGAAGAACACCAGUGGCGAAGGCGGCUCACUGGCCCCGGUACUG